UGAAAAAACAUCGAGCUGGAUGUUCUACUUGCCGUUUGCGUAGCCUCAGGAUUCUUGGUGGGGUGCACGGGAAAUUACUUGUUCUUAUUUUUGGAAGAAAUUGGUGGGACCAGGUCAUUAAUGGGGCUGUCGGUCACUAUCUCUUGUUUAACAGCGAUUCCAUUGCUUCUGUUAUCGGAUACCAUUUUGCGUAAAUUUAGUAUUCCCAACGUCCUCGUCUUUAGCCUUUUUACCUUCGUCAUACGUCUAAUAGGAUAUUCGUACAUCACCGACCCGAACUUGUGUCUCAUAUACGAGUC